GCCAUGGGUGUGCUCAGUUGGUAGAGCAGAAGACUCUUAACCUCAGGGUUGUGGGUUCGAGUCCCACAUUGGACA